AAUGAUGAUAUCAAUUUUGUGUUAUCAUUCUGUCCAUUAUUUCCUGGAACUCACCUGUUGUCCUUUACUACAAGAUACAAGAUGUUGAGGAAGAGGCAUAUCGUGAUGGCCUAGAAGCACAAGUUGCAAAUGACGGCGUUUCCAGAGACAAAGAGAAGGGGUCUGAAGAUUACUAUCUUAGCUUCACUCAACUCUUGACGGGACCAGUUCCAUAUGAUCUUUUAACCGGGUCAUAGUGAUGCACUUCUAUUUCAUGUCUUUCUAUAUUGUUCAUUCUAUAAAGAAGCAAGCAACCUAGGAGCAUUUCCGAGUCACAAAGAAGCAAAGCAACCAGGAGCAUUAUUUUGCCUUCUUUCCUUUCGGGAGACCGAGGGAGGAGUACGCCAGCGUUGGUAGCGUGUGCGGCUGUACACCUGUGGCCGCCUUCUGUUCCGCGACGUGUGUUCUGCUGUACGCUAGCGAGCUGAGAAGACGGCGUCGCGAUCCGGAUUCAAUACCCGUCACUACGGUACCAGCCAUUUUCCCAUCUGGAUACGUGCAUUACAUAUUUAUGGAUACUGUUGGCCGUUGCGGAUCGUUUUUAACUGGGAGAUGCUGACGGAGAAUGCUUCUUCUGACGGACAAGUCUGAACAGACGCCAUUUUCCCCACUUGUGAAGCACGAUGUUUUAAAGCUCCCAGGGAAUUUUUCAAGUCAAACAAGUUUGAAGGGAUUUCACAACCGAUCUGAUCCUGGUUGCUUUGUUUGACCAUCGGAUCCCUUUUCCUCACCAACUUGCCUGGAGAUCCGCAACCGCAACAUGCGGCGCUUGCGUCGAUGGUCAAAUCUGGCGUUCCAUCUAAGCGAAACUGACACUACUGCAUACUUAUCUCUCCGUUAUUGUUACUGUUGUUGCUGCUGUGCCCAUCAAAACUCGCUCAUUCCAUACCCUCCAAAAAAGCUCAUCAACAGUUCAAAUCCAAAUCCCUCGAGAGAUUGAUCUUCCACACGCUUGUGUGUGUUAGAAGGGAAACAUGUAACUGCCGCGUCAACUGCUAAAGUGCCACUACAUGUAACCCGGACGUCGACGUCAGUAGACCUGUCACUACAUUAC